rnacentral:rRNA from 1 species
GAUGAACGCUGGCGGCGUGCUUAACACAUGCAAGUCGAACGGUGAAGGCGGAGCUUGCUCUGCUGGAUCAGUGGCGAACGGGUGAGUAACACGUGAGCAAUCUGCCCCUGACUCUGGGAUAAGCGCUGGAACCGGCGUCUAAUACUGGAUACGAGCUGCGAAGGCAUCUUCAGCAGCUGGAAAGAAUUUCGGUCAGGGAUGAGCUCGCGGCCUAUCAGCUUGUUGGUGAGGUAAUGGCUCACCAAGGCGUCGACGGGUAGCCGGCCUGAGAGGGUGACCGGCCACACUGGGACUGAGACACGGCCCAGACUCCUACGGGAGGCAGCAGUGGGGAAUAUUGCACAAUGGGCGAAAGCCUGAUGCAGCAACGCCGCGUGAGGGACGACGGCCUUCGGGUUGUAAACCUCUUUUAGCAGGGAAGAAGCGAAAGUGACGGUACCUGCAGAAAAAGCGCCGGCUAACUACGUG